ACAAGGGAAGUUAGUAUCAUUAAAAAAAAGGGAGAGAAUAAUGACACAAAAGUAAAAUGCUAGGAAAUGAAACUAUAAAGAGCUCUCUGCUCUUACCUGUGCGCGCAACUGUGAUUUGUGAACGCUCAGGAGUUAGGACCCAGCUGACGAGGACAAAAGGAAAAGAAAGGACUAAAUUUCGAAGACAUAUUACGAAGUGUCAGAGGAAGGUCGUGUCGUAACUUACGCAGUUUAUAAAGUAAGCGGUACAUCUUAAAAAUGUCAAAAGACAUGUGCCCAAAUACGCCCUCAAGUAGAUGAACACUCGACAAACACUGUGGAAGGUAAUGAAGGAAAGGCUGUUGCUGCCCAGUUUAUGACAGCUAGAUUUGGCAUCAGAUAUGACCUAGGUGCCAAAAUUAACAGACAUAAACUCAUCAAGCAGGGUUAUCUGGGCAGAAUUCUAUUUUGAACAGAAAAAUUAAACAGGAGUAAAUGUGGCAGCCAACUCACUAUAUACUGAUAACCUCAUGAAGACUGCUCAGGAGAGACAAUGCCACCUGUGAAACCCAUUCCAGCAUUGUUUGAAACUUGCUUGAAGGGUUAUGGGAGACACUGUGUAAUGUCCUUGGUUAGAGGGCUUGUUUCACGGUGUGUAGGUUGUGAUGAAGAUGUAAAGGUCAGUGUAUCUAAAAGAGAUUCACUUCUAAGAAGUGCAAGAGCAUAUUUCCUUGAAUAUACAGUAGUGCGCACAAGAAAAGAAUUGCUCAAGUGUGUGUUUGAUGAGAUUCUAGAUUUGGGUUCUGAUAAGCAGUUGGAAAUUUUAAGAGAAUGUAUGAUCAUUCAUGGAGGGGUGAAUGGAUUGAGAAAUUAGAUCUUACUUGUGAUAAGUUGAAUUCUGUGGUUCCCAUAGAUUUGAAUCAAUCUGAACAUAUUCUUUCACAAACAGUGUUUCAGAACUAUUCAUGGUCUAAGAGUUUGGUAUCCCUGACAUUAUCAAGUUUGCAUGAUUUGCAUAUAAUAAAAGCAGUUGGUUGUCAUUGCCAAAACAUCCAGUAUUUAGAUAUAGCAACAGGCUUUUAUGGUGAUCCACAAUAUGAUUCACAAAUGGGAGAAGGUUGUACUGCCUACUUAAGGUAUCUCUAUGGUGCUGUUGAAAAUGUGAAUGCUGGUUGUCCAAAACUGAAAACUAUUGUCUUUCCCCAGUUUAAAGGACAUCCUGAGGUAAUAGAUAAUGUUGUCAAGAUGAUCCAGUUUAUGCCAGACUUGCAUGUUAUCAGAAAUGUAGAUACAAGGUUAGUUGCUAUUAAAUACACACAUGCUAUAGGCAAGUUGUGUACUAUAAAGUUGACCGAGUUUGAGGAGUGGGAUAAAGAGAGUUGCAGAGGAGGAGAAUAUGAUGCUGUGAAUGAAGCUAUAGGCAGAAUUUUUCCAAAUGUAAAAAAGAUAUGCAUCCCUCUGUUGGAAUCAUGGGGGUUCACCUUCCUAUCUUGACCAGGGAUUGAAAAAGAUACAGGCUAAUUUUUCUUGUUUACAGGUGAUAGAACUUUACAAAUAUCAUGGGGAUUUGGUAGAGGAUAUAGAUUUUAUGGAUCCCAUGCCAAGCAUGAAAAUAUUCAUUAUGUCUGAAAAUGAUGACCUUGUAGGAGUUGAUAAAAUUAGAGCACUGAGUGCUGCAUUUCCAAAUUUAGAAAAGUUAGUAUUGUACUCAAGUUGUUAUUGUGUUGAGAGUGAUGAUGAUGUACAAGAGGAUACUUUCUUUCCAAAGUUGAACACACUGGAACUCUAUAGAAUAGCUGAGCUAGAUGUUAGGUUUUUGCAGAUUAUGCUAGAGAAAUGCCCGUCACUUAGGACACUGGAAUUAUUUUGUUCAGAAGAAGUGUAUUAUCAAGAAGCAUUGCCUGUGACUGAUGAAUUUUUGCAGAAUUUAAGUGUUAGUAUGGAGAACCUUGAAAAGAUAAUUAUUGCACUUGAUUCUGAAAGCUAUCCUACAUCUUUGGCUAGAUUGUCCAAAUUCCAAUUAACAUAUGCAUCAGUUCAGUGUAUUUUAUCUGCAUGCCCAAAUCUUAGGUGUUUAGGAGAUCUAGGGAACUGGAGUGUCAUAGAGGAAGAUUUAAGUUUAAUAAUAGAUUCUAUUGCUAAGAGUAACUGGGACUUAGAGCUAGUAUAUAACUCUCCCUGUUGACCUGUGAUAUUAGAAUUAAGUUAUAAUUAUAAAUUAGAGUAACCAGGACUUGGACCUGGUAUAUAAUUUUCUUAAAACUCGAUGUUAACUUUUAUUGUUACCACAUUUUUGUAUUUUCUUAUGUUUCAACAUUACAUUGAUUAUAUGAAGUUAAAUAUUUGUGGAGAGCUUCCUAAUGUUAUAAUAAAUAUUAAAGUAC